rnacentral:tRNA from 2 species
GCGCAUCAGGCCAUGGUGGCCAAACGGAUUCCAACCCCGUAGGACAGAGUUCGAUUCUUUGGGUGCGCG